rnacentral:rRNA from 1 species
AUACGUAGGGUGCGAGCGUUGUCCGGAAUUACUGGGCGUAAAGAGCUCGUAGGUGGUUUGUCGCGUCGUCUGUGAAAUUCCGGGGCUUCACUCCGGGCGUGCAGGCGAUACGGGCAUAACUUGAGUACUGUAGGGGAGACUGGAAUUCCUGGUGUAGCGGUGAAAUGCGCAGAUAUCAGGAGGAACACCGGUGGCGAAGGCGGGUCUCUGGGCAGUAACUGACGCUGAGGAGCGAAAGCAUGGGUAGCGAACAGGAUUAGAUACCCUGGUAGUCCACGCCGUAAACGGUGGGCGCUAGGUGUAGGGGUCUUCCACGACUUCUGUGCCGUAGCUAACGCAUUAAGCGCCCCGCCUGGGGAGUACGGCCGCAAGGCUAAAACUCAAAGGAAUUGACGGGG